rnacentral:rRNA from 1 species
UACGGAGGGGGCUAGCGUUGUUCGGAAUUACUGGGCGUAAAGCGCGCGUAGGCGGACCUGCAAGUCGGGGGUGAAAUCCUGGAGCUCAACUCCAGAACUGCCUUCGAUACUGGAAAGCUCGAGUCCGGGAGAGGUGAGUGGAACUGCGAGUGUAGAGGUGAAAUUCGUAGAUAUUCGCAAGAACACCAGUGGCGAAGGCGGCUCACUGGCCCGGUACUGACGCUGAGGUGCGAAAGCGUGGGGAGCAAACAGG